AUCGGAAUGAGUACACUUUAAAUCCUUUAACAAGGAUCCAUUGGAGGGCAAGUCUGGUGCCAGCAGCCGCGGUAAUUCCAGCUCCAAUAGCGUAUAUUAAAGUUGUUGCGGUUAAAAAGCUCGUAGUUGGUUCUGCGUGCCGCGCUGUCGGUUCGCCGCCUGUCGGUGUAACUGGCAUGUCGCGGCAUGUCCUGUCGGUGGUGAACGGAGUCCACGACGCUACAUGGGCUUUAUAGUCGAUGUUAGCAUCGUGUGUACUUCCGUUGGCCGAUCUCUCCUACUUCGGUGCUCUUAAACGAGUGUCGAGGUAGGCCGACACGUUCACUUUGAACAAAUUAGAGUGCUUAAAGCAGGCUGAAAUAUCUGCCUGAAUAGUGGUGCAUGGAAUGAUAAAACAGGACCUCGGUUCUAUUUUGUUGGUUUUAGGAAUAUGAGGUAAUGAUCAAUGUGGACUGGCGGGGGCAUUCGUAUUGCGACGUUAGAGGUGAAAUUCUUGGAUCGUCGCAAGACGCACUAGAGCGAAAGCAUUUGCCAAGUAUGUCUUAAUUGAUCAAGAACGAAAGUUAGAGGUUCGAAGGCGAUCAGAUACCGCCCUAGUUCUAACCAUAAACGAUGCCAGCCAGCGAUCCGCCGAUGUUCCUUUAAUGACUCGGCGGGGAGCUUCCACCCGGG
rnacentral:rRNA from 1 species